rnacentral:rRNA from 1 species
UACAGAGGGUGCAAACGUUGUUCGGAAUUACUGGGCGUAAAGCGCGUGUAGGUGGAUUGGUGUGUCAGAUGUGAAAUCCCUGGGCUCAACCCAGGAACUGCACUUGAAACUACCAGUCUUGAGUGGUGGAGAGGGAAGUGGAAUUCCUGGUGUAGAGGUGAAAUUCGUAGAUAUCAGGAGGAACACCAGUGGCGAAGGCGGCUUCCUGGACAACAACUGACGCUGAGACGCGAAAGCGUGGGGAGCAAACAGG